GGGCAGCGGCCGCGCGUGAGGGGAGGCGUGGCCGGGCCGCUGGGGGGCGCGGUGCCCCCGUGAGGCGGGGCGGGCCCGCCGAGCCCCCCGUGAGGGCGGCCCGGUGCCCCCAGGAGGGCGGCCCCGCCGAGCCCGCACCCGGCUGCGGGGCAGCGCCGAGCCCACCCCCGGUUAUCCCCCCGGUAGUGGCUGGCGGAGGCCCGAGCCUCUGUGGAGGGCAGCUGUAGGCGGGGAGGAGCCGCUGUCCCGAAAGGAGCGCCUGGCACCAUGGCAAGGGUUUUGAAUUAAGCAUCAUACCUGAUAUUUUUCCCCAAAUGAAGAAUCAGUGUAUGUAGAAUCUUUCUGGGAUGCAGAAAUUUCUGCUGGAAUGGAGAAAGAAAACUGUAAGAACUUCUCACAAAGACAAAUGGGCUUAAGAGCAUUGAAGCUUUUACCCUGAAGAGCCAUACUGCAUGGUCUCUAGCUAAGCUCUCUGCCUAAUGUCUGCAAGUGCAUAUUAUGAUGUUCCUAAGAAGAGACUAAUAUAAUUUGAAGUUCACAAAGACAGCCAUCAACAAACCAGCAGAAUUAUAGAUGAAGAACUGUUCUGUGGUUUGUUAUGAGAGAGAUCUACUUUACUUCUGAAUAAGCUGUGUCUGGUUAGGAAGACUAAGGUGGAAAGAAAUGCCUUCAUCCCAUUCAAGAUGACACAUGCAGCUCAAAAAAUGGGAACUUUGGGCUGGUUGGAAAUCAAGGCCAUGCUAGACAAGGAGGUCGCCUGAAGAAAUCUUUACACACCUCCAAUGUUUCCUGAAGGGACAUUUUGGAUCAGAAGAAAACAGAGAUCUAAUCUAAUGGUAUUUAAAACGUGUCUUUGCAUUUCCUGCAUAACUGGAUCCUAGCUCAUUAAAGAUCUCCUGUGCUUUCCAGUGCCCCAGUAAAAUGUGGCUGCUCCAAAGAGCAGAGAUCCGGCAGAGGAGGCAGUGUCAGGAGUGUCUGAGAGAGAGGAAGUACACAGCAGCAGAUAGUCUGCUUUCAACACAGUGGUGCUGACAGCCUGCAUCCAUUCCAGAGAAUGCCUUCAAAUCAGUGACUUCAAAUGGAAUCCAAGAGAGAGUUAGUUCUGUUUGAGGGAGAUGGUUGUAACCUGUUAAGAGCCAGGUCAGGGAGCAAAAUCUGGAAUGCAUCCCUAUCUGCAAACAGAGGUGUCCGCAUGUGGCUUGCUGGGGCUGUAGCUGGCACAAGCACCUAAAGCUUCCACUAAGAUGGAUCCACCUCAAGCAAAGACCUUUUCCUCCUGGCUUAUGAAGCUGCAACACCAGUGAAAGCUGGGCAAGAAAAGAGCUGCAGCCCAUCCAAGUUUUUUAGCAGAGAAGGACCACAGAAUGUGGCUUGGAGAUGCUUUGAGUAGGCUUUCUUCAAGGUUUUAGAGUGGGCUGAAGUUACAAAGACACAACUAAUUAGCAAAGCAUACCUUCUCUCCUUUGGAACCUGGGUCUCCUUUCAGUCCAGGCAAGCCAGGUGGGCCCUUUAUAAAGCAAGGGAAGUCAUGUUAAACUUUCUCCAGGGUGACACUGAACAUCUGCAGCAGUGCAUGGACCUUUUGGCCAGCAGAGAUAGUUCAGACUACAUCAAAGAUAAUGCCAAAUGAAUUGAAUUAACCACAAGAGGACUUCGACCAUUUGUUGAGGACCAGGUGGGCCAGCUUCACCUGAAGGACCUGGUGGACCCUGCAACAGAAAAUUAAAAUCACAGCAGGAAUAAAGGAUGAAGUUCUCAUCUGUAUUAAAUGCCAUGGACAUCUGCCAUGUGUUAGCCCCAUCAAUGGACAGAAUCUACAGAAACAGAGCUUUGAUGCUUAAUAUGGGUAUUGCUCAGUUGUAUUUUUGUCCCAUACCUGAUGGCAAUACAUGAAACAAAGCUUGCCAGCCUCUGUGGUGACAUGCCUAAAUGAAAGGACUCUGAGGAAUGCUCCAGCUGACUGGCAAGUGUUACCAUGAGAAAGAGAUUUGGCAUGCAUGGAUUUUUCUACACUCUUCAAGAUGCUUCAAUGUGCUCCUUCAUUUUAUAGGCUCUGGAAUGAGGCCUACACAUUUUUAAACUAAUUUAAAAACCCAUUUUGAUAUUAAGCACUGUUGGAACGUACUCUGCAGUUGAUUAAUGAGGAGUUAUUUGGACACAUGGCCAGAUUCUUUUUAGCCAUUGCUUUGGAGGGCAAAUGGAGAAAGACUGAUCAGUAUAAUGAGAGAAUCCUCAGUUAAUAAAGGCAGCUGCGAUAACUGGGGAGGUUUUGAAGUUCAAGGGAGGACAGCACAUCAAAAACAAAAUUGUGCUGUCUUAACUAGAAUACGCCAACAUAGUUAGGCACAGGAUUUUCAAACCCACAAAAAGAAAUCUUUGUUAGUUUCAAUGGGGAAUUGAAGAUUUUUCCAGCUCUUCUUAAACAGGAAAAAUGAAUCACUUCUUUGAUCAGGAUCCUUGCUGUGAUCAGGCUCUAAAUGCCCACCAAGGCCUUUUGUGGGUGGUUUGAGAUUGUAAAUAUCUGUUCUCUAUGUCCUGUGAUUCCAGAACUGGUACUUCCUUGUCAGAACCUUUCAGAGGUGACCAACAAGCCCUUUCUCCCUGCCCCAACAGGCAUCUGUCAGCAUGUUGAAAGGAAAGCAGAUUUAAAAUGAAAACAUUCUGAAAUUUUCAGUGAAUGACUGCAGUUGAGGGCAAACUGAUUGCAGAUUCAAGACAUGUGACUUCAACCAGAGUUACAUUCACUUCAACUAAGCCUCAACACUGAAUACUGUACUUCAAGAAAAAAUGUGUAAUAUUCUCAAAUGCAUUAAACCUUGAGACUGGGAGUCCAGGAUACAUUCUCAAAUAAUAAUGCUGCAUUUUAUUUUUAAAGCAGUUCUGCUGGAGCAGGCCCUAAUGCAUCAGUACUCACUAUGGGAACUGAGGUCACAGUCUAAUGCUCAGCAUAACUAGCUAUGCUAAAAUUAUCUGAAACAGAAGAGUGCAGCUUGUGUUUUUUCUCUGGAUUUCUCUGAUGCAAAGCAUUUCUAAUGAAGAGGCAUGGCAAAGGGGAAAACAGGAUAUGCCUGUGACCACAUGCAAAGCCUGAAGUGGAACUGGAUCAGAGGCUGGAACUAGCUGAUCCUAAAGCCCAUUUCCAGCCCAAGCCAUUCUGUGAUUCUAUGACCUGUGAUUUGCUUGAGUAUGUACAUAUCCUCCCAUUAAUAUAAUCUGAUAUUAUGUAAGCCAUAAAUUUGGUGUAAUUUUUUAAAGUAACAUACUGUUCUGUAACUUGUCAAUCUCAAAAGUCACACUGUUUUCAAGAUAAAUUUACUUAGCCAUGAAUACCCCUGUGCUGAGUUUGGAGCUUUGCUAACUGUGAAUAGUGUUGAAAUAUAGCAAUAAAAGAGAUCUUUCUGCCAUUACUUCUCAAUUGUUUCUCAAGGAAAACUACUCAAGUAAAGUACCAGUUUAUAUUGAAUUUGAACAGAAUUGAAAACAUACCAUUUUGAGUUUUUAGAAAAGAAGCCAAAAUCAAAUGGAAAUAAAUAAAUGCUAGUUUUAUUCUUUCUAGCUUCAAAUUUCACAAUGAAAAAAGCUUAAUUUUAUAUGUCUGGCCUAAAUAAAAAAAAAAAGGAAGUGCUUGAACUUUAUAAAUAAAUUUUGAAGAUAGAAAAAUGUCAAAUCAAAACAGUAGAAACCUGAUUAUUCCUAGGUUCACUAAUAGGCCUAAUGAUAAUAUAUGAAAACUUGAAUAAGCCAUUUCAUCUGCCUUCAGUUAAUUGUGCUGCCCAGGAAGUAGAUAUCCUUUGGAAGUUUUUAAAACUACAUUAGUAGAUUCCUCUGCUGAGUCUCCACAGUUUCCAUCCUCAUGGCUAAGAAGCCAAAGCUGGGAAUGGUCACACAGUGCAGUCAGUGAAGUUCAACACAGGAAGGGAAUGUAUGGGAAUUUGUGGUCUCUCCAGUUCAAAUGCAGAAUGGAGGAGUUUCAGUGAUACAGGAAGGGUGCUUAAGAAAGUAAUUUAUAUUUUGUAAUGAUUCUGUAAACUCUAGGAAUAUGAGCAGUAAUAAAUACAUGCCUGGAUCUGUAAGUACAAACCUCUAGUAUUGCAUUAAAAGAACAUUGU